GCUCCGCUCACCCGGAUCGUUACACAAGCCACUAACUGCUCUCCUUUCUCUACAUGGACCACCAGAUGGUAAUUGAAAACCACAGGAGACCGUCCCAUAACCACAGCCUGUUCUUACUCAUGAAUUCACUCACCGAUUCAUCCCAUGAUGCAGCAUGCAUCCAACAUACAGUUAACGUGCCCAUGUUGAGCACCUUUUCUAGGCCAAGCCUUGUCGUAGAUUCUACGGAUUGGUGCCACGGUUAAGAAGCCCUGCUAGAGAGAAAGCAACCCUCCUGGGGAAGAUUGGAGCAGGGCCGGAUGAAUGAACCCUUCUGCCUCCCAGAGUGAGCUGUGACUGUCUUGGAACCCUUCAGCGCCUAUCCAGUGUCCACAGAUUUGAACCCAAACCCCUCGACACACACACCAAGCCUUCCUUCUGUGAUCUGGCUUGCCCUUCAGCCUCACUGUCCAAGACUAGGAUUGCCACCAUGUGCUUGCCCCCAACACACACCGGCAACCACUGACCUGCUUUCUGUUGCUAUGAUUGCAUUUUCUAGAACUUUAUAUAAAUACAGUCAUACAGUAUGUACUCAUUUUUGUCUGAAUUCUUUCACUCAGUAUAAUCAUUUUGAGAGUCAUGCAUGUUGCCGCAUGUAUCCAAAGUUUAUUCUUUUUUA